GACGAACGCUGGCGGCGUGCUUAACACAUGCAAGUCGAACGAAGUGGCGAACGGGUGAGUAACGCGUAAUCAACCUGCCCUUCAGAGGGGGACAACCGUUGGAAACGACUGCUAAUACCUCAUACUGAAGGAGGGGAUUGCGUCUGAUUAGCUAGUUGGCGGGGUAACGGCCCACCAAGGCGAUGAUCAGUAGCCGGUCGGAGAGGAGGAAAGGCCACAGUGGGACUGAGACACGGCCCAGACUCCUACGGGAGGCAGCAGGGGGGAAUCUUCCGCAAUGGACGAAAGUCUGACAGAGCAACGCCGCGUGAGUGAUGACGGCCUUCGGGUUGUAAAGCUCUGUUAAUCGGGACGCGGUACCGGAAUAGAAAGCCACGGCUAACUACGUGCCAGCAGCCGCGGUAAUC
rnacentral:rRNA from 1 species